UGAUGUAAUAUACAGUAACACUGGCAACGCGAAAGGAACAUCAGAGCAGAUUUCAUGCUCAGAUGUGGAUGUGAUUUAUAGUUCUGUGGUUACUAAAAAGUAGCAGUCUGUAAAACAUGGUUGAGGGUACAGCACAAAGACAUGAGUCACUACCAACCACAAAUUCCAAUGUUUGAUGCUUCAUAAGUCUGGACAAUGUGAACUGUUGGACUGUUUGUCACACUACAUGUCGCAGUUUGUGGUUUGCUUUUGAAAUGCAUCAAUUUAGGUUAUGUUUUAAUCUGAGCUCACACAGUGGCUCCAAACAGUCAAUAUGAGAUAGUUAUUCAAAAUUCACAGUCACCUCAUCUCACAGCAACAACACAUCAAAACAAUCAGACAAAGGCUAAAACUGUUGAAGUAAAGUAAGAGAUUCAUGAAUGAGUUAUUUAAAGUAUAUGAAUUUAUUUUUGCAUUUUAAGAGCAUAUUUAGAAAAAAAU